rnacentral:lncRNA from 1 species
UCCUUCUUCCCCAGGCCCCUUUCACGCUCAUCUCACUCCUCUGCCAGCGUUUCCGCAUACAGACCACCGGAAAAUGGCAAUUUUUGGUGGUCAUCAAUGUAUCCCCCUCCGCCGUCCAUCAAUCAUAGCCUCUUCCUAUCAACUUUACAUCCCUUCCAUCAUCUUUUGUGAACCAAAACAGACCUCAAAAGCCUCACUACCGCCACUGCUACGCUUGAAAAAGGCGAAAGGCGUGAAGAACCAUCGGAUUUGGGCUAGUUGUCCCUUUAAUCUGAUGGGUGUAAGGUUCCAUCACUGAUUUUUUGAACGUAGUAGAUGCCCCAAAUCGGCUAUAAAAAAGA